rnacentral:rRNA from 1 species
GACGAACCGUGCGAACGUUGUUCGGAAUCACUGGGCGUAAAGCGCACGUAGGCGGACUCUUAAGUCGGUGGUGAAAUCCUGGAGCUCAACUCCAGAACUGCCUUCGAUACUGGGAGUCUCGAGUUCGGGAGAGGUGAGUGGAACUGCGAGUGUAGAGGUGAAAUUCGUAGAUAUUCGCAAGAACACCAGUGGCGAAGGCGGCUCACUGGCCCGAUACUGACGCUGAGGUGCGAAAGCGUGGGGAGCAAACGGG